CUGAUUAAAUGGAUUGCAAACAGCCAAUAAGAAGACCUGUGUUUUUGGAUAUUUUUCCAUUUCCUUAUGUGCAUACUUAAAGCUGCGUAUUGUUUAUGCCAAAUGCUGAUGUCAGUAUUCUUGGCGCCUGCUGAUUAGGGUUGCUGGCAGUUUGGAGAGGUCUUCUCAGUUCCCAACGGGAGAGAACGCACCAAAAACAAGGUCUUUGUCAGUGCCUUGCAGGGUCUUGCAAGGUUAUUAUUCCGAGCACAAGAUGGCAUUCGUUCGAUAAUCCACAUGCCUUGACUGUGCUUUCACAUUUUGCGUACCCAUCUAGACGUGGCGAGGGGCUGUGCUUUGAGGGGUUGUCUCUUCCGCUUCUUCUUCGCAGAGUGAGGACAUAUGCAGAGUGGAUGGUUGAUUCCAGUUAGAAAUCUUUAGGGUUUUAAAUACCACUUUGUUAAGGAAGUGAGAAAAUGAAGUUUCAGAAGCAGCUAAAAGCGCAGCUUGUUGCAGAGUGGAUAAAUGCUUAUGUGAAUUACAAGCAGCUCAAGAAGGAUAUCAAACAAAUUAGAGAGCAGAUUGCAAGCAAAGAAGACCACCCUGUCACCAAUAAACUUUCUGCUUCUUCUUUUCUGGUAAAUAUAUCUAGAAAGAUGGAACUUGACAUGCUUUAUAAACGCAUGUAUAUAAAAAACACUUAUAUUUUACUAUUUAUCUUUGAUUUUCAUAUGAAGUUAAUUGAUGGACAGAUUGUACAUCAUGAAAUUAGAGAAAACAGUAACGGUGGUAUGGAGAUG